UAUUCGGCAAUGGGGGAAACCCUGACCGAGCAACGCCGCGUGAGGGAAGACGGUUUUCGGAUUGUAAACCUCUGUCCUCUGUGAAGAUAGUGACGGUAGCAGAGGAGGAAGCUCCGGAUAACUACGUGCCAGCAGCCGCGGUAAUACGUAGGUGGCAAGCGUUGUCCGGAAUUACUGGGUGUAAAGGGAGCGCAGGCGGGAAGCCAAGUCAGCUGUGAAAACUACAGGCUUAACUUGUAGACUGCAGUUGAAACUGGUUUUCUUGAGUGAAGUAGAGGUUGGCGGAAUUCCGAGUGUAGCGGUGAAAUGCGUAGAUAUUCGGAGGAACACCGGUGGCGAAGGCGGCCAACUGGGCUUUAACUGACGCUGAGGCUCGAAAGUGUGGGGAGCAA
rnacentral:rRNA from 1 species